UCAAGCUACUAAGGGCAUACGGUGGAUGCCUAGGCGCCAAGAGCCGAAGAAGGACGCGGUAAGCUGCGAAAAGCCACGGGGAACUGCAAGCAAGUAUUGAUCCGUGGAUAUCCGAAUGGGGAAACCCGGCCAUCGUCAUGGAUGGUCACCCGCAAGGGAGGGAACCUGGGGAACUGAAACAUCUAAGUACCCGGAGGAAGAGAAAUCAAACGAGAUGCCCACAGUAGCGGCGAGCGAAGAGGGCAGAGCCCAAACCGAGAAGCUCCGGCUUUUCGGGGUUGAGGACCGGCAGAAUCGAAGUCAGGCCUAGUUGAAUUACCUGGAAAGGUAAGCGAGAGAGGGUAAAAGCCCCGUAGACGAAAGGCAGAGCAGAGAGGCCGAGAUCCAGAGUACCACGAAGCACGAGGAAUUUUGUGGGAAGCAGGGGGGACCACCCUCCAAGGCUAAAAACUACUUGGCGACCGAUAGCGCAUAGUACCGUGAGGGAAAGGUGAAAAGAACCCCGGGAGGGGAGUGAAAUAGUACCUGAAACCGUAUGUCUACAAGCAGUCGAAGCGAAAGCGACGGCGUGCCUAUUGAAGAAUGAACCAACGAGUUAUCUGCACUAGCGAGGUUAAGUGGAAGACACGGAGCCGCAGCGAAAGCGAGUCUUAAGAGGGCGCUAGUUAGUGUAGGUAGACCCGAAACCGCAGUGAUCUACCCAUGUCCAGGUUGAAGCGCAGGUAAAAUUGCGUGGAGGACCGAACCGGUGAGCGUUGAAAAGCUUUCGGAUGAGAUGUGGGUAGGGGUGAAAUUCCAAUCGAACGCGGAGAUAGCUGGUUCUCCCCGAAAUAGCUUUAGGGCUAGCCUGAGGUAGUAAGUAUAGGCGGUAGAGCACUGAUCGGGCUAGGGGCCGUAAAGGUUACCGAACCCUGUCAAACUCCGAAUGGAUAUACUGUAGAGCCUUGGAGUCAGACUACGAGUGAUAAGAUCCGUGGUCAAAAGGGAAACAGCCCAGACCACCAGCUAAGGUCCCCAAUGUCGUACUAAGUGGAAAAGGAUGUGGGGUUUCAUAAACAACCAGGAUGUUGGCUCAGAAGCAGCCACCAUUUAAAGAGUGCGUAAUAGCUCACUGGUCGAGAGACCCUGCGCCGAAGAUUCCCGGGGCUAAAGUACGAAACCGAAGCUGUGGCUGUAUACGUAAAGUAUACGGGGUAGGGGAGCGUUCCCAUAGGGUAGAAGUCGAACUGGAAGGUUCGGUGGACUUGUGGGAAGUGAGAAUGUUGGUAUGAGUAGCGAAAAGAAAGGUGAGAAUCCUUUCCACCGAAAGCAUAAGGAUUCCUGAGCAACGAUCGUCGUCUCAGGGUAAGUCGGGACCUAAUCCGAGGCAGAGAGCGUAGGAGAUGGACAACUGGUUGAUAUUCCAGUACCGGUAGUAAUUGUUUGAGCAAUGGAGUGACACAGAAGGGCAGGCAAGCAUGCGAAUGGAAGAGCAUGUGUAAGCGUGUAGGGUGGUGCAUAGGCAAAUCCGUGCACUGAAAGCCUGAGGCGUGAUGCGGAGUGAGCAGAGAUGCGAGCGAAGUUGUUGACCCCACACUGUCGAGAAAAGCUUCUAGUGAGAGAGCUACCGCCCGUACCGUAAACCGACACAGGUAUGCGGGGAGAGAAUCCUAAGGUGCGCGGGAGAACCCUCGUUAAGGAACUCGGCAAAAUGUACCCGUAACUUCGGGAUAAGGGUAGCCACUGUUGUGAAGUCCCAUGCGGAUGGAGCAUAGAGUGGUCGCAGAGAAGAGGCCCAAGCGACUGUUUACCAUAAACACAGGUGCCUGCUAAAGCGAAAGCUGACGUAUAGGUGCUGACACCUGCCCAGUGCCGGAAGGUUAAGGAAGGAUGUUCGGAGUAAUCCAAAGCAUUCGACUGAAGCCCCGGUGAACGGCGGCCGUAACUAUAACGGUCCUAAGGUAGCGAAAUUCCUUGUCGGGUAAGUUCCGACCCGCACGAAAGGUGUAACGAUUUGGGCACUGUCUCAACGAGGGACCCGGUGAAAUUGAAAUACCUGUGAAGAUGCAGGUUACCCGCGACUGGACAGAAAGACCCCAUGGAGCUUUACUGUAACCUGACAUUGGGUUUUGAUACAUUACGUACAGGAUAGGUGGGAGGCUUGGAAAGCUGGACGCUAGUCUGGCUGGAGCCGACGUUGGGAUACCACCCUUGAUGUAUUGAAAUUCUAACCGCGAGAGUAACGAAAUCCGGGACAGUGUCAGGCGGGCAGUUUGACUGGGGCGGUCGCCUCCGAAAGAGUAACGGAGG
rnacentral:rRNA from 1 species